CAAGCAGAAAGAUCAUGAAAACCUGCCUCCCCUUUUGGCAAUUGGAUUUUUGCCACAAAAAGGACACUGACAACACUGAACCUAUGCUUGCAGACACAGUUCUACCCAUCUAAAGAAGAGAUUUUGCAACAGUGCACUGAACUGAGUGACUGGUGUAGAAUUACAAGACAGCAGAAUACUCGACAGAGAUUCUGGUCACAAGGCACGGGAACAAUUUACCUCCUCUUGGACACACGAGAUACUGUGCAACGCAAAAAUGUGAGCUCCUCAGUCAUGCAGGACCUGGUCAUAUGGCUGCCCACUGAAUUCCUUCUCUUUCCACCAUCAUAAAAGGGAGUACAAGAUGCUGUUGCCAUUUAUAUUCCACUGAUUACACAAGCUAUUUUCAUGGCAGGACUCUGCUACUGCAUUCCAUCUCACAGGCUGAACAGAUUGAGCUUUUUUAGUGGAUUCUAUUAAAAUAGAUGUUCAUUCCAAUAGGACAAAUUCAUCAGGUAGGGAGCUUUUACAAUGAGUCAUUUUAAGGUAAUCUUUGUACACAUCCUUUUCAAAUAGCCUGAACUCUUUGAAUGAUAAAAGUGCACAAAAACAAUAGUGGCUGUGAGUGGAGAAGAAACAUUUUAAAAGCUGGGUUUGUUAAAUGUUAACCCAAGAAACAAAACUCUGUCUGAUUUUAUAUUGGAUCUUUCUAUGUGUAUUCCCAUCCCUACUGCUUUCUUUCUACUUUUAGACAA